rnacentral:lncRNA from 1 species
UUAAAAUUCAUAAUCAAAUACUAGACUCAACCAUGAACAUGAUGGAAAAAGAAUCAGAAUUUUUGGAUGAAAAUUGAGUGAGAAAUUAAUUUUUGAAGAUGAGGAAAUAAUUGGAUGCAACAUGAUCACAUUAACAUGGCAUAGGUCAAACAAGGAAGUCAACAGUGGCAUUUUUGAAAUUCCGUGUCUCACUAAUUGAAACGGCAGUGCAUUGGGG